rnacentral:rRNA from 1 species
CAGUAGCCACGGGAAUACGAAGGGGGCUAGCGUUGCUCGGAAUUACUGGGCGUAAAGGGAGCGUAGGCGGACAUUUAAGUCAGGGGUGAAAUCCCAGAGCUCAACUCUGGAACUGCCUUUGAUACUGGGUGUCUUGAGUGUGAUAGAGGUAUGUGGAACUCCGAGUGUAGAGGUGAAAUUCGUAGAUAUUCGGAAGAACACCAGUGGCGAAGGCGACAUACUGGAUCAUUACUGACGCUGAGGCUCGAAAGCGUGGGGAGCAAACAGGAUUAGAUACCCCCGUAGUCCCUGUCUCUUAUAC